CACGACCAUUACUCUGAAAAACAGAGAGAAAAGAAAACCAAAAACUAUUUCUUGGCUGGUUUGAAGAAAUUCUAAGCAGAUCCAAGUGAAAUUAAAGCCAAAGAAGUGGAUUAAGCUUAGGUCUAGCCUUUUUAUGAUAUUUCUUGGUGGUUUCCAAGUGGUUUGAGGUUUAGAAAAGCUAGAAGAGAUUGUUUUCGUCGAAAAGUUGCUCGGAUAAGCACAUCAACACCUAAGACACCACUUAUUACACGGUGAAUUUUAUUUUGGACAGAAGAUAAGUAAAGCACUCAACUGCAACACAAGAAUUACAUGUAAUGUGAAAGUAUGCAUUAUAUGAAUAUUUUGUGAGUAGAGAAAGAAAUGUGUGAAUGACAUGAGGAGAACUGAAACGUGAUCCUGACCCUGAUUUGUACAUAUGAACAUAUCGACCUUUUGUGGGUUAUUUCAGUUAUCAGUGUGAUGUUUGUAAUAAAGUGUGAAGUUAUGUUUUGAAAAUAAAUUGGGUUAUUUAAUACUUAUGUAUAAUAUGUCUGAGACACACUUUAUGUUUAAUGUAAAUAAUG